rnacentral:rRNA from 1 species
GACGAACGCUGGCGGCGUGCUUAACACAUGCAAGUCGAACGGAAAGGCCCUGCUUGCAGGGUACUCGAGUGGCGAACGGGUGAGUAACACGUGGGUGAUCUGCCCUGCACUUCGGGAUAAGCCUUGGAAACUGGGUCUAAUACCGGAUAGGAGCCAUUUUUAGUGUGAUGGUUGGAAAGUUUUUUCGGUGUAGGAUGAGCUCGCGGCCUAUCAGCUUGUUGGUGGGGUAAUGGCCUACCAAGGCGGCGACGGGUAGCCGGCCUGAGAGGGUGGACGGCCACAUUGGGACUGGGAUACGGCCCAGACUCCUACGGGAGGCAGCAGUGGGGAAUAUUGCACAAUGGGCGCAAGCCUGAUGCAGCGACGCCGCGGGGGGGAUGACGGCCUUCGGGUUGUAAACUCCUUUCGCUAGGGACGAAGCUUUUUGUGACGGUACCUAGAUAAGAAGCACCGGCUAACUACGUG